AACUUUCAAUAACGGAUCUCUUAGUUCUAAUAUUAAUAAAGAAUAUAGCGAAAUACAAUAAAUAAUAUAAAUUAUAAAAUUCAAUAAAUUAUUAAAUUUUUAAACGUAUAUUAUAUUUACUAAUAUUCUAGCGAAUAUAUUUAUUUAAAUAUUA